UACGGGGGGGGCAAGCGUUGUUCGGAAUUACUGGGCGUAAAGGGCUCGUAGGUGGCCAACUAAGUCAGACGUGAAAUCCCUCGGCUUAACCGGGGAACUGCGUCUGAUACUGGAUGGCUUGAGUUUGGGAGAGGGACGCGGAAUUCCAGGUGUAGCGGUGAAAUGCGUAGAUAUCUGGAGGAACACCGGUGGCGAAGGCGGCGUGCUGGACCUUUUCUGACGCUGAGGCGCGAAAGCUAGGGGAGCAAACGGG
rnacentral:rRNA from 1 species